rnacentral:rRNA from 1 species
AUUGAACGCUGGCGGCGUGCUUAACACAUGCAAGUCGAUCGGUAACGCGGGGGCAACCCUGGCGACGAGAGGCGGACGGGUGAGGAAUGCUUGGGAAUCUGCCCUUCAGCGGGGGACAACCCGGGGAAACUCGGGCUAAUACCGCAUACGCUAUAAGGAGGAAAGCCGGGGACCGCAAGGCCUGGCACGGAAGGAUGAGCCCAAGGCGGAUUAGCUAGUUGGCGGGGUAACGGGCCACCAAGGCUACGAUCCGUAGCUGGUCUGAGAGGACGAUCAGCCACACCGGAACUGAGACACGGUCCGGACUCCUACGGGAGGCAGCAGUGGGGAAUAUUGGACAAUGGGCGAAAGCCUGAUCCAGCGACGCCGCGUGGGUGAAGAAGGCCUGCGGGUUGUAAACCGCUUUCAGGAGGGACGAAGCCACUCGGGUUAAUAGCCCAGAGGGUGACGGUACCUCCAGAAGAAGCCCCGGCUAACUANGUGCCAGCAGCCGCGGUAAGAC